GGGUCCUUAGUUCAAUCGGUUAGAACUUCUAGUUGUCAAUUAGACUGUUACCAGUUCGAAUCUGGUAGGACUCG
rnacentral:tRNA from 2 species